GCCCGCUUAGCUCAGAGGUUAGAGCAUCACAUUUGUAAUGCGAUGGUCAUCGGUUCAAUUCCGAUAGCCGGCU
rnacentral:tRNA from 1 species